CACAGCGAGAGCCACGCAUUUCAAGAAGACUUGUACAAGGGAGGCCUGCAUCAUGGAACACAAACUCCCAAACACACAUGACUUCUCCUGAUUCUUCUCACAGCGAGAGCCACGCAUUUCAAGAAGACUUGUACAAGGGAGGCCUGCAUCAUGGAACACAAACUCCCAAACACACAUGACUUCUCCUGCUUCAUCUUAUGUUCCUGGGUCUUGCCUGUGGUUCUACAUGCAUCCAGUCAUGCAGACAGAGAACACCUUAGCCUUUAACUGUCGGAAGCUGUCCCUCUGCGAGGCCUCAUAGUAUAGUCUGUUUUCUGUUCUCAUUCAUUCAUUUAUUUAUUUAUUUAUUUAUUUAUUUAUUUAUUU